rnacentral:rRNA from 1 species
AGCAGUAGCCACGGUAAUACGUAGGUGGCAAGCGUUGUCCGGAAUUAUUGGGCGUAAAGGGCUCGCAGGCGGUUUCUUAAGUCUGAUGUGAAAGCCCCCGGCUCAACCGGGGAGGGUCAUUGGAAACUGGGAAACUUGAGUGCAGAAGAGGAGAGUGGAAUUCCACGUGUAGCGGUGAAAUGCGUAGAGAUGUGGAGGAACACCAGUGGCGAAGGCGACUCUCUGGUCUGUAACUGACGCUGAGGAGCGAAAGCGUGGGGAGCGAACAGGAUUAGAUACCCCUGUAGUCCCUGUCUCUUAUAA